GACGAACGCUGGCGGCGUGCUUAACACAUGCAAGUCGAACGGAAAGGACCUGCUUUUGUGGGGUGCUCGAGUGGCGACCGGGUGAGUAACACGUGAGUAACCUGCCCUUGACUUUGGGAUAACUUCAGGAAACUGGGGCUAAUACCGGAUAGGAGCUCCUGCUGCAUGGUGGGGGUUGGAAAGUUUCGGCGGUUGGGGAUGGACUCGCGGCUUAUCAGCUUGUUGGUGGGGUAGUGGCUUACCAAGGCUUUGACGGGUAGCCGGCCUGAGAGGGUGACCAGCCACAUUGGGACUGAGAUACGGCCCAGACUCCUACGGGAGGCAGCAGUGGGGAAUAUUGCACAAUGGGCGGAAGCCUGAUGCAGCAACGCCGCGUGCUGGAUGACGGCCUUCGGGUUGUAAACCGCUUUCGCCUGUGACGAAGCGUGAGUGACGGUAAUGGGUAAAGAAGCACCGGCUAACUACGUG
rnacentral:rRNA from 1 species